UCCUGACAAGUUGAGCUGAUGCAAAAGAGCUCGAUAUUGGUCUUGAAUGAUUAAAUAACUUUUUCUUAACGUUUCUCUGAGUCAUUUAAAUGUUCACUGUGAAACCUAAGCUGGGAUGCAAGAUUUCACUCUAUUACAGUGUAGUCUGUUACCAGUGGUGUUUUGCUGACAGUGGUCCAACUGUCUUCAGGUUAUUUACAAGCUCCUCCUCUUAAGCUGUGAGCAGAUUCCUCAUCUAUCUCAGCUUCAUUCUCAGCCCAUGAGCCAAGAACUUGCAUGAAGCUCCAAACAGAGGAGUUGAUGGUCAUAUUAUACAUCUCUUAUUCCAACAGCUGUCAGCUUCUCACCAGGAUAGCUGAUGUUCUUAGAGACCAUUUCAUUCUUGUGCAGAUCUACCAUGUUCUUCCUGAUGUCCUUUGACAACUCCGUUCAUGGUGGUGAAGAGGUUGGAAUUGAUUAUGUGGAUUGGUGUGCUUUACACACAUUCAAAGAGGUCUGAAGAUCCUGGAGAGCUUUGUUUCGUUCUUCUUGAAGAUUUGUGGCCCUCGCCUCAGCAUCUUUCAAGGCCUCCCUCAGGAUGCUUACCUCUGUGGUGAAAAAGACUUUGGAGGACUCUCCGGCUCCAGAUGGUACAUUGACUGCCACCUCCUCAGACCUGGGUCGCUCCUUCUGAAGCCACCAGCGCUGUUGCUUGCAGAAACACAAAUCAUCCAAAGUAUACCCACUUUACUCAACAAUCACCUCUGUACUGCACCCUCCAAUCUUAUUGGCACCCCUGGCAUGGAUGAUAACAGGUGUUUGAAAAACCUUAAAAUAAAUUUUGUUUUUAUUGGUGUAGUGUAAUUUCACACUCAAGAAUUUAGAAAAUUAACAUUUCUAAAUUUAAUCAUUUAUUUGUUGGGGCAAAUUCCACAUAUUGGUACCACAAGUAAUAGAACCUCUGCUGUUAAUAGUUUGUUCAACAGCAUUUAGUUUCCAAGAACAUUUCUCUCAGAGAGAAAGCCUUCUCUCUGUUGUAGCAAACAGAGAGAAGGCUUUUCUGCACAGAUUUGUAUGGGUUUUAGGUUUGGGGACUGGGCUGGCAAUGAAGGAAGCUUGACUUUGUCUCUAAGUUACCAUUUCUGUCCUGAUCACCUUUUUUUAUAUCUUCUGGUAUUCAAAAUCCUUCGCCAUUCUUAACAGUUCGGCUUGAUUUUUCUUUCUUUGUUAACUUGUCCAUCCUUGAUCUUAGGAUAGACGUAACUGCAUUGUUUGUUGCUGAAAAACAUUAUCUUAGUCUUCUCUGACCAAAGUAUUUAGUUCCAGUUAAAAUCCCAAAACUUCACAUGUUUAGUCUUGGAACAGAAAUAUUAUUUUUCUGGCACACGAGCCAAAAACCUGCUUGGCUAGUACAUGAUUGUGUUAUGUAGACCUGGUGACCCCCCCCAACAGUACUCUUUGCUGCAGUUCUUUAACAAGUACGUUUUGGUUAUUUCUUUUUUUACUUUGUUUACAAUAUUUAAUUUUUGUUUAACUUUUAAAAUAAAAUGUGAUGUAAAAUGCUUGAUUUUGUUUUUAAUCAUUUAGUUUUAGUUAUUUCUUAACAUGGAAGUUCUGGUUUCCAUCCAGCCUAGUUUGUCGUAGUUUCAGUUGUUUUAUGCUUCUGAUUUUAGCUCACUGUAGAUGUCGGCAAGUUUCUUGUAGAUUUUUGGUGAUUUAUGAAGAUCAACACAAAUCUGCAGCUUUUGAAUAACAUGUUUUCUGGUCUGUCCCAUUUUGGAGAUAGGCUAAGAAAAAUGUUUCUCCAUGUAUUGCUACACCAGAGAAAUAAGAAGACAUGGAUUACAAAUUAAAUGUCAAUCAACACUCUUAACGCAGCUUAAUAAAAUAAAAAUUUGA